rnacentral:tRNA from 1 species
GCGGAUGUGGCGAAAUUGGCAGACGCGCUGGACUUAGGAUCCAGUGCCGCAUGGCGUAUGGGUUCAAGUCCCUUCAUCCGCACCA